rnacentral:lncRNA from 1 species
GGUCCGAAAGCAUUGGAUAAUGAAAUUGAUGUAUAUCUACGACUUUUGAUUGAUGAUCUGAAGGAGUUAUGAAAAAAUGGGGUUCAGACAUAUGAUUCUGUGAGUCGAAGUAAUUUUAAGUUGCAUGCUUCGAUUUUAUGGACUAUAAAUAAUUUUUCAGCAUAUAAAAAUUUAUCUGGAUGGAGCACCAAAGGAUAUUU